rnacentral:rRNA from 1 species
GGGGGGGUCACUCUAGUGGCGGACGGGUGAGUAAUACGUGAGAAUCUGCCCUUAGGAGGAGAAUAACGGCUGGAAACGGCCGCUAACUCUGCAUAUGCCGAGAGGUGAAAUAGUUUUUACUGCCUAGGGAUGAGCUCGCGCCUGAUUAGCUUGUUGGUGAGGUAAUGGCUUACCAAGGCCACGAUCAGUAGCUGGUUUGAGAGAAUGAUCAGCCACACUGGGACUGAGACACGGCCCAGACUCCUCCGGGAGGCAGCAGUGAGGAAUUUUCCGCAAUGGGCGAAAGCCUGACGGAGCAAUACCGCGUGAGGGAAUAAGGAUCUUGGUCUGUAAACCUCUUUUCUCAAGAAAGAAGUUCUGACGGUACUUGAGGAAUAAGCAUCGGCUAACUCCGUGCCAGCAGCCGCGGUAAUACGGGGGAUGCAAGCGUUAUCCGGAAUCAUUGGGCGUAAAGCGCCUGUAGGUUGUUUAAUAAGUCUGUUGUUAAAGACUAGGGCUUAACCCUGGAAAAGCAAUGGAAACUACUAGACUUGAGUAUGGCAGGGGUAGGGGGAAUUUCUAGUGUAGCGGUGAAAUGCGUAGAUAUUAGAAAGAACACCGGUGGCGAAAGCGCCCUACUGGACCAUCACUGACACUGAGAGGCGAAAGCU